UACGUAGGGAGCAAGCGUUGUCCGGAAUCAUUGGGCGUAAAGCGCGCGUAGGUGGCCAUGUAGGUCCGCUGUGAAAGUCAAAGGCUCAACCUUUGAAAGCCGGUGGAUACUGCAUGGCUAGAGUACGGAAGAGGCGAGUGGAAUUCCUGGUGUAGCGGUGGAAUGCGCAGAUAUCAGGAGGAACACCAAUAGCGAAGGCAGCUCGCUGGGACGUUACUGACACUGAGGCGCGAAAGCGUGGGUAGCAAACAGG
rnacentral:rRNA from 1 species